CCAGACUCCUACGGGAGGCAGCAGUGGGGGAUAUUGCACAAUGGGGGAAACCCUGAUGCAGCGACGCCGCGUGGGUGAAGAAGUAUUUCGGUAUGUAAAGCCCUAUCAGCAGGGAAGAAAGAAGACGGUACCUGACUAAGAAGCCCCGGCUAACUACGUGCCAGCAGCCGCGGUAAUACGUAGGGGGCGAGCGUUAUCCGGAUUCACUGGGUGUAAAGGGAGCGUAGACGGCCGUGCAAGCCAGGAGUGAAAGCCCGGGGCCCAACCCCGGGACUGCUCUUGGAACUGUGCGGCUGGAGUGCGGGAGGGGCAGGCGGAAUUCCUGGUGUAGCGGUGAAAUGCGUAGAUAUUAGGAGGAACACCAGUGGCGAAGGCGGCUUACUGGACUGUAACUGACGUUGAGGCUCGAAAGCGUGGGGAGCAAACAGGAUUAGAUACCCCGGUA
rnacentral:rRNA from 1 species